UACGUAGGGUGCGAGCGUUUGUCCGGAAUUAUUGGGCGUAAAGGGCUCGUAGGCGGUUUGUCGCGUCGGGGAGUGAAAACCAGGUGCUUAACACCUGGCUUGCUUUCGAUACGGGCAGACUGAGGUAUGCAGGGGAGAACGGAAUUCCUGGUGUAGCGGUGAAAUGCGCAGAUAUCAGGAGGAACACCGGUGGCGAAGGCGGUCUC
rnacentral:rRNA from 1 species